rnacentral:rRNA from 1 species
AGCGAACGCUGGCGGCAGGCUUAACACAUGCAAGUCGAACGCCCGGGCAACCGGGAGUGGCAGACGGGUGAGUAACACGUGGGAACGUACCCUUUGGUUCGGAAUAACUCAGGGAAACUUGAGCUAAUACCGGAUAAGCCCUUUUGGGGAAAGAUUUAUCGCCGAAGGAUCGGCCCGCGUCCGAUUAGCUAGUUGGUGAGGUAACGGCUCACCAAGGCGACGAUCGGUAGCUGGUCUGAGAGGAUGAUCAGCCACACUGGGACUGAGACACGGCCCAGACUCCUACGGGAGGCAGCAGUGGGGAAUAUUGGACAAUGGGGGCAACCCUGAUCCAGCCAUGCCGCGUGAGUGAUGAAGGCCCUAGGGUUGUAAAGCUCUUUCGGCGGGGACGAUAAUGACGGUACCCGCAGAAGAAGCCCCGGCUAACUUCGUGCCAGCAGCCGCCGCAGGAA